CGGGCCAGAAAUGGCCAACUCUUUGGACACUCGUGAACAGGUGGUGCAUGGUUGUCGUCAGCUCGUGUCGUGAGAUGUUGGGUUAAGUCCCGCAACGAGCGCAACCCUCGUUCUAUGUUGCCAGCGCGUAGUGGCGGGAACUCAUAGGAGACUGCCGGGGUCAACUCGGAGGAAGGUGGGGAUGACGUCAAAUCAUCAUGCCCCUUAUGUCUUGGGCUUCACGCAUGCUACAAUGGCCGGUACAAAGGGCUGCAAUACCGUAAGGUGGAGCGAAUCCCAAAAAGCCGGUCUCAGUUCGGAUUGAGGUCUGCAACUCGACCUCAUGAAGUCGGAGUCGCUAGUAAUCGUGGAUCAGCAUGCCACGGUGAAUACGUUCCCGGGUCUUGUACACACCGA
rnacentral:rRNA from 1 species